GGGUGUAUAGCUCAGUGGUAGAGCACGUGCUUAGCAUGCACGAGGUCCUGGGUUCAAUCCCCAGUCCCUCCA
rnacentral:tRNA from 1 species